rnacentral:rRNA from 1 species
GAUAAGCUGCGAUAAGCCGGGAGAAGAUGCACAUAAUCAUUGAUCCCCGGAUUUCCGAAUGGGUAAACCUGCAUGCCUGGAGGGCAUGCGUGAAAACGGCAAGCCUGCGAACUGAAACAUCUAAGUAGCAGGAGGAAAAGAAAGUAAAAACGAUUCCCCAAGUAGCGGCGAGCGAACAGGGAAAAGCCUAAACCGUGCCAGUGUCAAGCGGACAGCGUUGCUGGCACGGGGUUGCGGGACUUCCAUUAACGGAUUGUCAUAAUGUUUAAUCUGCAUAUGUGUAAGUGGAACCAGUUGGGAAGCUGGACCGAAGAAGGUGAAAGUCCUGUAGAACAUAAAGCAUAUGUGGAGACUGGAAGCACCCGAGUAGCGUCAGGCACGAGGAAUCUGGCGUGAAUCAGCGUGGACCAAAUCACGUAAGGCUAAAUACUGUUGUUGACCGAUAGUGAAGAGUACCGUGAGGGAAAGGUGAAAAGAACCCUGAGCAAGGGAGUGAAACAGAAUUUGAAACCGUGUGCUUACAAACGGUAGGAGCACUUUAUGUGUGACUGCGUGGAUUUUGGUUAAUCAUCCUGCGAGUUAUGGCUGGUGGCAAGGUUAAUAGACGGAGCCGAAGGGAAACCAAGUCUUAACAGGGCGACAAGCGCCGUUGAAAAGUUGGGAGAUGAGAUAGGUCUAGGGGUGAAAAGCCAAUCGAACUAGGAGAUAGCUCGUUCUCUCCGAAAUGCAUUUAGGUGCAGCCUUGAACUGAGAUAUGUGGGGGUAGAGCUCUGUAUGAUCUAGGGGGCGUACUGCUUACCGAAAUCAAGCAAACUGCGAAUACCAUAUAUCAUGUUCAGGAGUGAGUCCGUGGAUGACAAGGUCCUCGGACGAGAGGGGAACAGCCCAGACCGCCAGCUAAGGUCCCUAAUUAUGUCUAAGUGGGAAAGGAGGUGGACAUUCAUAGACAACCAGGAGGUUGGCUUAGAAGCAGCCAUGCCUUGAAAGAGUGCGUAAUAGCUCACUGGUCGAGAGUGCCUGCGCCGAAGAUGUAACGGGGCUAAGACAUAAACCGAAGCUGCGGAAGAUACACUGUAUCUUGGUAGGAGAGCGUUCUGUAGGCCGUCGAAGGGAUGCCGCAAGGCCGUCCUGGAGGUAUCAGAAGCGAGAAUGCAGGAAUGAGUAGCGAGAAGGCGGGCGAGAAUCCCGCCGGCCGGAAGUCCAAGGUUUCCAGGGGAAGGCUUGUCCGCCCUGGGGAAGUCGGGACCUAAGCAUAAGCAAAAUUGUGACGGCGAAUGGAAAACAGGUUAAUAUUCCUGUACCGCUGUUAUCGCUUGAGAGACGGAGUGACGCAGGAAGGUAUGCGAGAAGGCUGACGGUUUAGCCUUUCUAAGGGCCCAGCGUGGGCGUGCAGGCAAAUCCGCACGCCUAAACGUGAGACCUGACGGGGAAGUGCAUUUGCAUAAGUCGCAGAUCCUACACUGCCAAGAAAAACUUCUAUCGAUGAGAAGCAGCGCCCGUACUGUAAACCGACACAGGUGGACAGAGUGAGAAACUUAAGGCCGACAGGAUAACUCUAGCUAAGGAACUCUGCAAAAUAGCCCCGUAACUUCGGGAGAAGGGGUGCCUGACAUACCUGAAGGAGAGAAGCGCUCCCAGGGGAAACAGGCCGCAGUGAAGAGUCUCAAGCAACUGUUUACCAAAAACACAGGUCUAUGCUAAGCUGAAAGGCGACGUAUAUGGGCUGACACCUGCCCAGUGCCGGAAGGUUAAGAGGAGGAGUGAGAGCUCCGAUUUGAAGCCCCGGUGAACGGCGGCCGUAACUAUAACGGUCCUAAGGUAGCGAAAUUCCUUGUCGGGUAAGUUCCGACCUGCACGAAUGGUGAAAUGAUUU